CUACGGGCCGCUGCAGUCGAGAAUCUUCGGCAAUGGGGGAAACCCUGACCGAGCGACGCCGCGUGCGGGAUGAAGGCCCUCGGGUUGUAAACCGCUGUCGUAGAGGAGGAAGUGCAAGGGGGUUCUCCCCUUUGUUUGACCUAUUCUAGGAGGAAGUACGGGCUAAGUUCGUGCCAGCAGCCGCGGUAAGACGAACCGUACAAACGUUACUCGGAAUUACUGGGCUUAAAGGGUGCGUAGGCUGCGCGGAAAGUUGGGUGUGAAAUCCCUCGGCUCAACCGGGGAAUUGCAUCCAAAACUACCGUGCUCGAGGGAGAUAGAGGUGAGCGGAACUCAAGGUGGAGCGGUGAAAUGCGUUGAUAUCUUGAGGAACACCGGUGGCGAAAGCGGCUCACUGGAUCUCUUCUGACGCUGAGGCACGAAAGCCAAGGUAGCAAACGGGAUUAGAUACCCGUGUAGUC
rnacentral:rRNA from 1 species